rnacentral:rRNA from 1 species
UACGAAGGGGGGCUAGCGUUGUUCGGAUUUACUGGGCGUAAAGCGCACGUAGGCGGCUUUCUAAGUCAGGGGUGAAAUCCUGGAGCUCAACUCCAGAACUGCCUUUGAUACUGGAGAGCUCGAGUCCGGAAGAGGUGAGUGGAACUCCGAGUGUAGAGGUGAAAUUCGUAGAUAUUCGGAAGAACACCAAGUGGCGAAGGGCGGCUCACUGGUCCGGUACUGACGCUGAGGUGCGAAAGCGUGGGGAG